CCUACGGGUGGCAGCAGUGGGGAAUAUUGCGCAAUGGGCGAAAGCCUGACGCAGCGACGCCGCGUGAGGGAUGAAGGUCUUCGGAUCGUAAACCUCUGUCAGCAGGGAAGAACGGUCACUGUGCUAAUCAGCAGUGAAUGGACGGUACCGGCAAAGGAAGCACCGGCUAACGCCGUGCCAGCAGCCGCGGUAAUACGGAGGGUGCGAGCGUUAAUCGGAAUUACGGGGCGUAAAGCGCUCGUAGGCGGUAUGUCCAGUCAAGGGUGAAAUCCCCGCGCUCCACGUGGGAACUGCCUUUUAACCUGGCAAACUGGCGUGUGUGAGUGGCUAGUGGACUUCCCGGUGU
rnacentral:rRNA from 1 species